UACGUAGGGGGCGAGCGUUGUCCGGAUUUAUUGGGCGUAAAGAGCUCGUAGGCGGCUUAGCAAGUCGGGUGUGAAAACUCCAGGCUCAACCUGGAGACGCCACUCGAGACUGCUAUGGCUAGGGUCCGGUAGGGGACCACGGAAUUCCUGGUGUAGCGGUGAAAUGCGCAGAUAUCAGGAGGAACACCGGUGGCGAAGGCGGCUCACUGGGGAUUUUCUGACGCUGAGGAACGAAAGCCAGGGGAGCGAACGGG
rnacentral:rRNA from 1 species